rnacentral:rRNA from 1 species
UAAGGAAUAUUGGUCAAUGGACGCAAGUCUGAACCAGCCAUGCCGCGUGAAGGAUGAAGGUCCUCUGGAUUGUAAACUUCUUUUAUCUGGGACGAAAACGGGAUUUCUAUCUCAAUUGACGGUACCAGAGGAAUAAGCACCGGCUAACUCCGUGCCAGCAGCCGCGGUAAUACGGAGGGUGCGAGCGUUAUCCGGAUUUACUGGGUUUAAAGGGUGCGUAGGUGGGCUUAUAAGUCAGUGGUGAAAUCUCCGAGCUUAACUUGGAAACUGCCGUUGAUACUAUAGGUCUUGAAUUAUCUGGAGGUAAGCGGAAUAUGUCAUGUAGCGGUGAAAUGCUUAGAUAUGACAUAGAACACCAAUUGCGAAGGCAGCUUACUACAUAUAAAUUGACGCUGAGGCACGAAAGCGUGGGGAUCAAACA